GUUAACCAAAGCUUCAAGGUAGAAUGCAAGCCAGAAGAAAAAUAUUUGCAGCAUGAGGGAGUGAGCAACUGUAUCAAAUUCUGCUGCUGGGUCAAGUAAGAUGAGGACUAAGAACUGACUACUGGACUCAGCACUCUUCAGGUUUGUUUUCUAUUCCAAAAAUCAUCUCAGUGACCGGCCAGGCUUCCUUUCUUGAUUUCCUAUCUUUCUCCUCCUCUGCCCUCCCUCUCAGGAUGGGCAGGAGAGACUGGGUUUAUGUAGCUCCCUCAAUCAGGCAGUGUUGCUUGCUUCCUUAUACCUUUUCUUUCUGAAAAAUAUCUCUCGGCUCAUUUUGUUAGCCUUAUGUGAUGAGUAAGGGACCUGGAGUUGGAAAACUCAGUGCUUUUCAAGUUUAUACUAGCAACUGCUUCAGAAUGAAACAAUGUCAUAGGAUAGACAGUGAAAGUCAUUUCUGUGGAUUGGUGCUUAAAUAUAUUGUGGAGCCCGGAUGCAUUGAGAGAAAAGGAACACCUCCUCCGCAAAGAGCUGAAGGAAGCCAGUGGGAGACGGAUACCACCUGGCUACGGACUGAGUUAUUGAGCCCAAGGAAGCUGGAAGUUAACGGAGUCAGAUGUGGAUCCAGUGAAGUAUCCAAGACUGAAAUAGCAAAAUAA
rnacentral:lncRNA from 1 species